CACGGCUUACCUCUGCCAAGCAUCAUCAAGAUUUACCACCCUGACAACAGACCAGGAAUGUUAUUUCAGAAUAAGGGUGGAUAAGACAGAUGCGAACACACGUACACACACACGUAUGUGCAUGAUUACGAUCUGAGGGCAGCACUAGGGCUGCAUUCACAGAGGAAAAGGUGGACAGACGCCCCAGCCACCAUGAGGACGGCAGGCGUGGUGGUGCUGCUGGCUCUUGCCCUUUGCUGCUGCCCAGAUACCGUUGCACUGAAGGGCUACUGCAGUAACUACGUCGUACCCCGCAAUUUCUGCACGCUGGAGUACAUCCCACACUGCGGGUCUGAUGGUGUAACAUAUGCCAACAAAUGUUUAUUCUGCAAUGCAUUUCUGUAUGUAUGAAAAUAAAUCUCUUCACUAACUAAAUGGUGAACCA
rnacentral:lncRNA from 1 species